AGUGAACGCUGGCGGUAGGCCUAACACAUGCAAGUCGAACGGCAGCACAGUAAGAGCUUGCUCUUACGGGUGGCGAGUGGCGGACGGGUGAGGAAUACAUCGGAAUCUACUUUUUCGUGGGGGAUAACGUAGGGAAACUUACGCUAAUACCGCAUACGACCUACGGGUGAAAGCAGGGGAUCUUCGGACCUUGCGCGAUUGAAUGAGCCGAUGUCGGAUUAGCUAGUUGGCGGGGUAAAGGCCCACCAAGGCGACGAUCCGUAGCUGGUCUGAGAGGAUGAUCCGCCACACUGGAACUGAGACACGGUCCAGACUCCUACGGGAGGCAGCAGUGGGGAAUAUUGGACAAUGGGCGCAAGCCUGAUCCAGCCAUGCCGCGUGGGUGAAGAAGGCCUUCGGGUUGUAAAGCCCUUUUGUUGGGAAAGAAAAGCAGCGGGUUAAUACCCCGCUGUUCUGACGGUACCCAAAGAAUAAGCACCGGCUAACUUCGUG
rnacentral:rRNA from 1 species